rnacentral:rRNA from 1 species
UACGUAGGGGGCUAGCGUUGUCCGGAAUCAUUGGGCGUAAAGCGCGCGUAGGCGGCCCGGUAAGUCCGCUGUAAAAGUCCAGGGCUCAACCCUGGAAAGCCGGUGGAUACUGUCGGGCUCGAGUCCGGAAGAGGCGAGUGGAACUCCUGGUGUAGCGGUGGAAUGCGCAGAUAUCAGGAAGAACACCAACGGCGAAGGCAGCUCGCUGGGACGGAACUGACGCUGAGGCGCGAAAGCGUGGGGAGCGAACAGG